rnacentral:lncRNA from 1 species
UUUUUUUAACUAUAUAGUUUUCUCCGUGUAUCCUCAUUCACUCUCUAUCCCUCAUUCUCUCUCCAUCUCACUGUUACUCUCUAGAAGCCCCCUUGGCUUCUGCCCUCUGACGGGGCUUGUUCACCUUCUCCAACCGAUUUUCUCAUUGGAACAUAUGGAUCCUCACUAUCUCAAGGCCAUUUACCCGCUUCUCAACCACUAAGUGAUAUCAUAGGCUCUUCAGAUGAACCUUAAGUGGUUCACUCACCUCCUAUGGGUCUCUUGACAUUUUUUGGCCAACCCUCGGCCGUUUGAGUAAGUUGGCAGCCUCUCCAGCUAAAUCUGUGACAUUCAUGAGGUUUGCUCUCUUUUUUGGGUUCCACGAAACCCUAAUGCUCGAUAUUUUGGGUUUUCUUUUAAGAUCUUUUCUAUAUUUACAGUGCUAUGAAGUUUCUUCAUAUUUUCUCCAGAAAAUUGUGUUUUAACAAUUUCAAGAACUAGGGUUCUCGACCCUGUUCUCAAAAUAGUUUUCCUUUGAUUUUUAAACGUCUCCACUGUGUUUAAGCGAUUAUUUUAUGCUUUCUUCUUGCCUUGAUUGUUAUGCUGAAACCCCAAUUUUUAGAUUAAUCUUUAUUAUGUGUAUCCGUUUGGUACUCAAUUGUGUGCACUCAUGUGCUCUCUGUGACUCCUGUUUAAUUCACUACUUAUGACCUUUUCCUAUUGAUUUCUAUGAAUAUAUCUUCCUGUUAAUUAUGUGACUACUAUUUAAAUACUUGAUAAUUCCGGCAUUUACCCUACAGGUUGUUUACUUGAUGAUUUGUGCUGAUCCUUUUGUGUAAAAAAAAUCCCAUGCUUGUGAUAUUUUCCUUAAAUAGAUGAUCUUGUGUGUUACUUCUGUAAUUCUGUGCCAAUUUUUGAAUUAUUUCUAUAUUUAUGUGAUGCUUUCCUUAAUUACUUUGGAUUCUCUGUGAUUACAAUUGGAUCUGGGAUCCUCUUGGUUGAUUUUCAAACUGAUGCCUACUUUUACUUUAUAAAUACAGUGUUAUUUCAACUUUCCUUAAUUACCCACUAUGUAUUUGGCCUUAUUUAUGCAUUAUGUGGUUUCUUUGCUCUAAUCAGCUUUACUGAACUGAUUUCUUUUCCUUAUUCUGUCUUGACUAACCGUUUGAACUAGACUCCUUAAUUAAAGGAGUCCAGGUGUCUUAAUUGAUACUAAUUGAUUGUUAUUUCCAUAUUUGUGCACUCUUUCUCUAUGUACUGCUUGUUUUCAAAACUAUAUAAAGACUUGUCUUCCCUCUUCACAAACACACUGAGAUUCAAACGAACAAAUACACUGACAUACACACACAUAGAUCGACAUUGAGAUUACUAAUCAUACAAACAUACCAAAGACUGAGUAAUCUCUACAACUCAUGUGCUUUUGCAUACUACUGCUGCUCUCAUCCUGCAUAUUACUGUUUUAUUGCUCCUCUUUUUGUCAUGUAUACUGCCACUGCUGUGCUAUCCCUAACACUUUGCUAUCCUCUAUUAUCCAACUGUUAUGUUUUUUCUAAUUUAGCUUUAUAGCAUCUACACACAAUAUGCUCAAGUUUUUGUUUACUUACUUACUUACUGUUCCUUAUGUGUUUCAUCCGUUGGUUCUACUAACUACCAUGUAACUAGCUUAACCCUUAUCAUGUCUUCCCCUUUUGUUAGUCUGAAUGUGUAUCUUGUUUUCUAUAUGGUUCCUUGUAAUUAUGUAAUUAAUACACCCCUAUCCCUCCCUUUCUUUGAGUCUGAUAUAUCACCAGUUCAUUCUGAGACUCUAGUAUGCUUCUGUGUUCAGGGGCUAUUGUUUCUCAUCCUGACCUGAUUGUUGUUAAUUGCUCUCAUUAUGUGCUUAAAACCUGCAUUUCCUGCUACUUAUGUAUUAUGUAAUCUCGAUCCCAUUAAUAUGUGCUAUUAUCUAACAAUUAUGUGGUAACUAUGUGAUAACUAUAACUCUAUCAAAACGCUGAUAUCAAAGUUAUCUGUCCCCAAUCCUUUACCCCUGUUUGUGUUUGCUCUUUCAUGAGUUCUUUACUUGCUAGCUGUAGUUGUAUUGCCUCUCUUUGUGUUAAACUGUUUUACAAAAUCUUUCAUCAUUUUCAAAAAUCAUCUUUUCAAAGCUGUUGUCUCGAUUACUCUUUUCAAGCUUAAAUUCUCUUUAAACUCCCAGCACAUCUCUGCUACUCUUAGAUUCUAGGUUCUUCCCCCUUCGAGUGAGCACUGCCUUGGGGACCUCGGAGUACCCAUUGAACUCUGACACACAAGGUUGACCUUCUACACUACACUUACUCAUCCUUGGCUAGGGUGCCUGGGUGUGAGCACCGUCCAGGACCUUCUGAGGUCCUUAGAGAAUAUGGCACACUUGGGUUGGAAGGCCAUGGCAUAUGGCAAGUGGAUCUGGUACUUUGGGCCUACUGUUAGGCCUUCUAAAGUACAGCUUCUUGAUUUUUCUUUUAUUAAUUUAUGCAAUUUAGGCAAUAUUGGUCUGUAAUGAUUAUUUGUAAAAUACUUCAGGGAUGGAUAGAAAAAAAGGUGGGGGGGGGUGACACACAAGGUUGACCUUCUACACUACACUUACUCAUCCUUGGCUAGGGUGCCUGGGUGUGAGCACCGUCCAGGACCUUCUGAGGUCCUUAGAGAAUAUGGCACACUUGGGUUGGAAGGCCAUGGCAUAUGGCAAGUGGAUCUGGUACUUUGGGCCUACUGUUAGGCCUUCUAUAAUAUAGCUUAUUGAUUUUUCUUUUAUUGAGUUGUACAAUUUAGGUAAUAUUGGUCUGUAAUAGUUAUUUGUAAAAUACUUCAGGG